UACGUAGGGGGCAAGCGUUGUCCGGAAUCAUUGGGCGUAAAGCGCGCGUAGGCGGCCCGGUAAGUCCGCUGUAAAAGUCCAGGGCUCAACCCUGGAAAGCCGGUGGAUACUGUCGGGCUAGAGUCCGGAAGAGGCGAGUGGAAUUCCUGGUGUAGCGGUGGAAUGCGCAGAUAUCAGGAGGAACACCGAUGGCGAAGGCAGCUCGCUGGGACGGUACUGACGCUGAUGAGCGAAAGCCAGGGGAGCAAACGGGA
rnacentral:rRNA from 1 species